UACGGGGGGAGCAAGCGUUGUUCGGAUUUACUGGGCGUAAAGGGCGCGUAGGCGGCCACGACAAGUCAGUUGUGAAAUCUCUGGGCUUAACUCAGAACGGUCAACUGAUACUGUCGGGCUAGAGUGCAGAAGGGGCAACUGGAAUUCUCGGUGUAGCGGUGAAAUUCGUAGAUAUUCGCAAGAACACCAGUGGCGAAGGCGGCUCACUGGCUCGGUACUGACGCUGAGGUGCGAAAGCGUGGGGAGCAAACAGG
rnacentral:rRNA from 1 species